GGUAGCCGGCCUGAGAGGGGCCGGCCACACUGGGACUGAGAACGGCCCAGACUCCUACGGGAGGCAGCAGUGGGGAAUAUUGCACAAUGGGCGMAAGCCUGAGCAGCGACGCCGCGUGRGGGAUGACGGCCUUCGGGUUGUAAACCUCUUUCAGYAGGGACGAAGCGAAGUGACGUACCUCAGAAGAAGCACCGGCYAACUACGUGCCAGCAGCCGCGGUAAUACGUAGGGUGCGCGUUGUCCGGAAUUAUGGGCGUAAAGAGCUCGUAGGUGGUUUGUCGCGUYGUCGUGAAAUCCACACUCAANUGUGAGCGUGCGGGCGAUACGGGCAGACUGGAGUACUGCAGGG
rnacentral:rRNA from 1 species